rnacentral:rRNA from 2 species
GUGGGAGUAGCUGUCUUCCAGGCACAUAUAGAACUUAUCUUGUAGGUGAACAGACCUUUUUUUGUCUUCGGGACGGGUAGACCCCGAUGAACUUGAUAGCGGUGUGUGGUUUUUCGUCGAGCUAAUUAACUCGACGCUUUUCCACUCCUUCUUCGGUUGGGAAAACCGGUGGGAUGAGUGAUAUCCACCUUUUUGUUUAUUUGGGGAUACUGAUAAAGACCUCUAGUGUGGGAAAUCUAGAAAGAGAAAAGUUACCGCGGGGAUAACAGCAUUGUCUCCUCGGAGAGAAUACAUUGCAGAGGGGGUUUGUGACCUCGAUUUUGGGUCAUUAGAUUCUGGGUGGUAUAAGAAGCCGCCCUGAGAGGGACUGUUCGUCCUUUAAUUUAUU